GCCCUGACCCUCCUGUGUUCCCUCCCAACCUCCCUCUCCCGCCUCCUCCUAGACCUGUCAGUUCCUCUGCUCCCCUUCCGCUGGUUCCGUCCAGCCCUGCCCCUUCUGUUUCUCCGCUGGUUCCGUCCAGCCCUGACCCUCCUGUUUCUCCGCUGGUUCCGCCCAGCCUCGACCCUUCUGUUUCUCCGCUGGUUCCGCCCAGUCCAGAUCCUUCUGUCUUUCCUCCCAUCCUCCCUCUCUCAUCUCGUCCUAGACCAGUCAGUUCCUCGUCCUCAUCCCCGCUGGUGCCAGUCAGUCCCGCAGCUCACCCUCAGUCCGCGCCAUCUGGGCGCGGAGUUUCGCCGCAGGACUUCCAGUCACCACCUCCACCUGGGCGUGUGGAUUCCCUGCCUCCGCCUCCAGCCUCCGAGUCCUGGACUCCUCCUCGGUCCUUCGACCCGGCGGCUCCGCCUUGGCUCCUAGCUCCCUCGUCUCCACCGUGGCCCGGCAUCCCACCUGCUCCACCGGGCUCCCUCGUCCCUCCGGCUCCACCUUGGUCAGUCGUCGACCAUCCGCCGCCUCGGGACUCCAUUCCUCUGGCUUCGCCUCGUCGCUCCAUCCCUCCGGCUCUGUCAGGCUCCUCCUUCCCUUCGGCUCCACCUCCAUCCUCAGUCACUCCGGCUCCGCAGCGGUCUUCCGGUGCCCCGCCUCCGCCUUGGUCGCCUGAGCCUUCUGCUCCGCCUUGGCCCUCCGGAUCCUCGGGGUCACCCUGGCUCUGCGGUUGCUCGGCUCCGUCUUGGACUCCUCUGCCAUCGGCUCAGUCUCCGUCAGUCGGCCCCCUGGUGUUGUCGGCCCCUCCUCCACCAUGGCUCCUCCCACCGUCGACUCCACCAUGGGCCGCUUUCCUGGCUGGCCUCUGGAUAUCCAUCUGGCUCCUACUGCUCCGGGCUCCUCCAUGGCUCCUCCCUCCAUCCACUCCACCCUGGUACCAUGCUCCAUGCUCCUUCUCCAUUGCCUGCCCCUUGCCUGCCCCACGCCCACCUCCUGAACCCCCACCCUCCCUCCGCUGGACUAUCUCUUUCGGUGCGAGGACGCACCGUUCCGGGAGGGGGCGAACUGUCACAGUCAUGGACUUUCUGUUCCUUUUCUGUUAUCCCUAUUUGGUCAUGUUCCGUUCCUCGUUUUGUUAAUUGAUUAAUCCCCACCUGUUUCCAUUCCCCUCAUUACUUUCCUUGUUUAAAAACCCUGUCUGUUCAGUUCCUUUUUGUCCGCUAUUGAUGUUUGAUGUUUAAUGUUCGACUAUUUGGAUUUGUGUUUGGAUGUGCCCUUUUCUCCUGUGAAUCAUUAAAAGAACUCUUUAUAUAUAUCUUCUUCCUCGUGCGCUUUACUCAGCACACCAGCCCGGGUGUGACAAUUAAGACUUACUCUAAUGCACGGCUCUUAUAUAAUGUCAGAUGUUUUCCCCCAACAAUUCCCCAAAUGUUCACUUAAGACGUAACAGAUCACUUAAAUACUGUAAUUAUGUGUAUUUGUCUAUAUUUAUGGGGAUUACGCAGUGUCGGAUGUGUCUUUAUGCGAGCGCUUUGAAUGACAGUCAGUGUGAGAAGCGAGCGGAGAAAAGCUAGGCUACUCCUCUCAGAAAACAUACGAAUAAAGAUAAUUUUAGGUGUUUAAUUACUAUGAGC
ensembl:lncRNA